GAAACGAGUUCUGAUGACUUUUUCUGCUGGAACUCAUCUGAAAUACAUCCUGGGUAUAAGCCUGAAGUAGCCCGGAACUCCAGGCCGGUCAGCACCUCAGCCGGAAGCCAGUCUCAAACUCCUUAUACCUGAUCUUCAAAUCCUCCAUGAAUCCCUUGACUUCACGUUCCUCUGUGCCUGCUCUGGACCCACGCAUACCCACCGCAGCAGCGCCAGGUCAUAGCCCUGAGCAUCCUCCUCCGCAUCCAUGUCCUUGCACUAGAACCCCCUCUGGUUCUUCCUAAGAAGUGCUCCACAGUCUCACCAGGAGCCCCCAAUUCUACUCCUGUUCCUCCCCCUCCUCCACCUUCGGACUGUUCUCUGCAGCCCCUCCCACUGCUCUCAGAGGACAAGGCAGGCUCACCUGUCCACCUGUGCUCUCAGAUACCUUCUCCUGGUGCCUCCCCCAGAACCUGCAAACCCACUGUGUACCUCACGGACAGAGACAACUGCUAUUCUGCUUCCGGCUCCAGAUCUAGAAUGGACACUUGUGAGUUGAAAGUUUAAUAUUCAUUAAUACUGAGUAGGGCAAUUAUUUUUAAAAAAUAGGAUAUCAUUAUUAGCAAUCACAAGUGCACAUGAAUAGAAUUCCUUGGCUGGAUUUUCUUAGAAAUGUGGCUAUAUUAUAUUCUGACUCUGGCACACCCUGUAAUUAGGCACUGGCCUUAAGGACAA
rnacentral:lncRNA from 1 species